UUCUAAGCCCCCAUCGAGCCUGCUCCUGUCUUAUCCUGACUGUCCUGGAGGAGGUGAUAGACCCCUCUUCUAAGGUCUCAGCCUGAAGGUCAUCUGGUCACAGAGGCUCUUGACCCCUCCUCUAAGGACCCUGCUGCCCCAGGACAGAUGGAAGCCUCUGGAAGCCCUGACCGGGACUGGUUGGUGAUGGAUUGGCACGGGCUGGCCUGAUUUGCCCGAUAAGCUGCCUGGCAGAGGUAUAGCUCCCCUCUUGGCCUAAGUUGGCCAAAGCAAGACCCUUAGGCCUUGAAACAUCGGCAGUUUUAGACCCUGAGAAUCCAAACGAACAUCCCAGCAGUUCAUCGAGACAAAAGUUUGGGUGGUGUGCCCCCCACUGUGUAUUUUAAGACCUUAGUCCUGCUAAGAUGUUAACCAGAGCUCAGUCAAGAAAUGGUUGCAGGUUUAAGCACAUUUGGGGAACAGUGGGUUAAAACCAAGUAAAAGUCUCUUGUCUGCCGACCCUUCUUUAACUUGCUAAUGCAAUGAUGCUUCUC